rnacentral:lncRNA from 1 species
UUAGAGUACAGCAUAAGUUGUUUAUAAGUCAGUGGAAAACCAAAUGUUUUCACAUUUGAAAACUAAUGUGUCCAAGCAGUACAUAACCAUGCCAGAGUCAUGCAUGGACGUGUGAGUAUCUCCCUUUUAGAGAUGUUUUGCCAGCUGGGAGGUGGACCUUUUUAGGCAAGUGACAUUUCUCAUGUUCUUUUCUUAUUUGUAAGCUACACCCUCUCGGUUUUCUCUGCUCUGCCAACACUAGUGGAAUAUGAUCACAUCCCAGGGAUCAGUGUCAUUUAGGGAUGUGACUAUGGGCUUCACUCAAGAGGAGUGGCAGCAUCUGGACCCUGCUCAGAGGACCCUGUACAGGAAUGUGAUGCUGGAGAACUACAGCCACCUUGUCUCAGUAGGGUAUUGCAUUCCUAAACCAGAAGUGAUCCUCAAAUUGGAGACAGGCAAGGAGCCAUGGAUAUUAGAGGAAAAAUUUCGAAGCCAGAGUCAUCUGGGUGGGUUAGUGCCAGAUGGAAUUUAAAGAAUUAAUUAAUACCAGUAGAAACUAUUCAAGAACGAAGUUCAAUGAGUUUAACAAAGGUGGAAAAUGUUUCUGUGAUGAAAGCAUGAAAUAAUUCAUUUUGAAGAGGAACCUUCUGAAUAUAAUAAAAAUGGGAACAGCUUCUGGCUGAAUGAAGACCUCAUUUGGCAUCAGAAGAUUAAAAAUUGGGAGCAACCUUUUGAAUACAAUGAAUGUGGGAAAGCUUUCCCUGAGAAUUCACUCUUCCUUGUACAUAAGAGAGCUUACACAGGACAGAAAACAUGCAAAUAUACUGAACAUGGGAAAACCUGUUAUAUGUCAUUUUUUAUUACUCAUCAGCAAACACAUCCAAGAGAGAACCACUAUGAAUGUAAUGAAUGUGGAGAAAGUAUCUUUGAGGAAUCCAUUCUCUUUGAACAUCAGAAUGUUUACCCAUUCAGCCAGAAUUUAAAUCCCACUCUAAUUCCGAGAACCCACUCAAUUAGCAAUAUUAUUGAAUAUAAUGAAUGUGGAACCUUUUUCAGUGAAAAAUUAGCCCUUCAUUUACAACAGAGAACACAUCCAGGGGAAAAACCUUAUGAAUAUCAUGAAUGUGGAAAAACCUUCACCCAGAAGUCAGCCCACACAAGACAUCAGAGAACACACACAGGGAAAACCCUAUGAAUGUCAUGGAUGUGGGAAGACCUUCUAUAAGAAUUCAGACCUCAUUAGAAAUCAAAGAAUUCACACAGGGGAGAGACCUUACAGAUGUCAUGAAUGGAGAAAUCCUUCAGUGAAAAGUCAUCCCUUACUCAACAUCAGAGAACACACGCGGGGAGAAAUCAUAUGAAUGUCAUGAAUGUGGGAAAACCUCGUUUAAGUCAGUUCUAACUGUGCAUCAGAAAACACACAGGGGAGAAGCCCUAUGAAUGCUAUGCAUGUGGGAACACCUUUCUUGGAAAAUCCGACCUCAUUAAACAUCAGAGAAUUCACACAGGAGAAAAACCUUAUGAAUGUAAUGAAUGUGGGAAGUCAUUCUCUGAGAAGUCAACCCUUACUAAACAUCUAAGAACACACAGAUGGGAAAUCUUAUGAAUGUAUUCAAUGUGGAAAAUUUUUCUGCUGCUACUACAGUUUCACAGAACAUCUGAGAAGACACACAGGGGAGAAACCUUUUGGAUGUAAUGAAUGUGGGAAAACCUUCCAUCAGAAGUCGGCCCUAAUUGUUCACCAGAGAACUCAUAUAAGACAGAAACCCUAUGGAUGUAAUGAAUAUGGAAAAUCAUUCUGUGUGAAGUCAAAACUCAUUGCACAUCAUAGAACAUACAAAGGGGAGAAACCCUAUGAAUGUAAUGUUUGUGGAAAAUUAUUAUUAAGUCAAAACUAACUGUACAUCACAGAACACACUUGAGGUGAAACCCUAU